CCUACGGGGGGCAGCAGUGGGGAAUAUUGCACAAUGGGGGAAACCCUGAUGCAGCGACGCCGCGUGAGCGAUGAAGUAUUUCGGUAUGUAAAGCUCUAUCAGCAGGGAAGAAGAUGACGGUACCUGACUAAGAAGCCCCGGCUAACUACGUGCCAGCAGCCGCGGGCAUAGGUAGGGGGCACGCGUUAUCCGGAUUUAAUGGGGGUAAAGGGAGCGUAGACGGGGAUGCAGGGCAGAUGGGAAAGCCCGGGGGCCAACCACGGGACUGCAGUUGGAACUGGGCGGCUGGAGUGACGGAGAGGCAGGCGGAAUGCCUAGUGUAGCGGUGAAAUGCGUAGAUAUUAGGAGGAACACCAGUGGCGAAGGCGGCCUGCUGGAGGAUGACUGACGUUGAGGCUCGAAAGCGUGGGGAGCAAACAGGAUUAGAUACCCCAGUAGUC
rnacentral:rRNA from 1 species